GGGCUUUCUUCCCAGCAAAUUUGGACACAACUAGUGCUCAUAAAAUAAUGGGAUAGUGAAUUUGUGAUUCACUAAUCAAUACUGAGGUGUAUUCUCAUUCCUAUGUUCCUAUUAAAUAUAGGUAGGUACAUGCAUUUUUAUUGUUUAAGGAGAACAAAAAUACAAGAUGCACCUUUGACAGAUGCAGAAUGAAGAAAAAAAAAAUGUAGAUAGGAAUUGCUUGCACCAAUUCUUGGAAAUCUACAUCCUCUCAAAGAAGACACGAUCUUCAGAUUCGUUAACAACUUGUACCUGUAACACACCACAAAGAUGAUGUGUUUGCAAAGAAUAUUUGCUCGUGUGCAGCAAUCGUGGUCAGCUUUUCCAUUACUUACCUACCUUGGCAUGUUUUGACGCAAGAUCCUUACGGAGCCAGAAAUUGACCAGAAAAGAGUCCAUGAUGAUCUGAUUCAAAUGUGCUGCAACACAUGGAAGAACCAGCAAACCAGAUUCGCCAAAUGCACCUCCGAGCUGUUCUACUACUGCAACCAUUACUGGAAGAGUUUUCUGGCUUGAAACAAGCACAAAAGCGUUGGCAUUUUCUUUUUUGGAAAAAACUGAUUGGUUGCCACCAGAUGCGGUUGAGAGGCCUUGUAUAGCAAGAGCAUUAAAAGCAAAUAGGAUGACAUGCAGAAAUCUGCAAUCCAUGGAGAUGUUCCUUUUGUCAGAUGAUGCUAUUACAUUGAAGCACAUAAUUAUGUAGGAAAUGUAGAUUGAAAAUGAACAGCAGAUCAUAUAUUUUGCCAAUUUAUGUUUUCAACCUGAACUUUGGACAUGACAUCCAUUUACAGUUGAAAAAUGCUAAUAAAUUGUAACCUAAAUGACAUAGGAAUUCAGAAUAUAUCGAUCCUCUCCUGCCCCUCCCCUUGCCUCCAUUCCAUAAAUCCCCUGCUUCUUUCUCCCCAUGGUGGCUGACUGCAAGUACAAUGGAUAGCUGUUACCAAUAUUAACCUUUAUUCAGGUGGUUCAGGUGUGAGGCUUGGAUAGGUCCUAAACUUCAAAACUUGCAGCUGUGUUUGCUUUCAAAAGUGAAAUCCAUGAAUUAGAAAUUGACAAUUAGAAACUCCAACCAUAACAUCAGAUAUUGGCCCCCAAGGGAAAAGAACCAACUUACCAAGGCUGCCAAAAACUCCACACAACUCUAGACCACUUAAAGGUUUCCAAAAGGACAAGUCCAAGGGGUUUGAAGUUUUAAACUCCUGAAUGCCAUUUCAAAUGCGUACACAAUGGAGCAGAUAUUGAACAACUGGUUGUUAGGGUUUUGGAUCCCUAGCAAGAAAAACUGGUCUACUUCUCAAUGAAUAGAAGAAAUUAAUAUUCACAGCAAAUUAAGAAUGCUAUUCAGCAAUAACUGAAGGAAAAUAAAAUAUUAAAAGCUUCUCAACUAAUAACAGACGAGUAUAAAGGAAUUAAGGCUGUUAACAUACACUCCCAUCCCAAUAGCUACAAGGAAAACUUCAGGCUUGACCAGUAGGAGCAGCGAGCUUGAUCUGCUUACUUGUAUCCAGGGAGCUAAACUAAGACAGAUUGCACUCAUCUUUGAAAAAAGUUUACGCUUUUGAUCAACAAAGGCCGCCAAACCUUUGAAGGAUUCUCGAAAAACCUUUCCCAUCAGAAGAGGGAUUAGAAGCGUUAGCACAAGACUUCUUAACAGUUGUUUAGUUGGAACAGAUACACCAACUCCAGCAGCUAUGAAUCUGGUGAUAGAAAAGGGAAUCUGAAAGUGAAAUAAAUAAAACUUGAGUUUAGCAAGAUAAAUGAGGGAAAUUAAUCUGGUAUAAAAAUAAAUAAAUAAAUGUUACACAGAGACAAAUUGACAUAGAAUACAUCCCUGAGAGCCAGAGAAUGUGAAAGAGUUGGUGCAAGGUAACCAAUUUGCCUCUGCUGAAUCAUUCAAAUUUAUCGGCAAACCACAACUUUUAAACAAUCAAAAUUCCUAAAAGAUUAGAUAUCACUGUCAUUGCUAGAGCAAGUGCAGAAUUUCCUCCAGCAAGCUGAGUUAGUGCCACUCCACUUGAUAAUGUAGUUGGCAUGCAGCAAAACAAAGCCAGUCCUGUUACAAAUUCCUGAGGCUGGAGCUGGAUUUGCAAAAUUAUCCUUGAAAAGUAUGGUGUAAAAAAAAGAAUGGAGCAAAAACGUAUAAUGGCACAAAGAAAUUCAAGGUCAUACAAGCCCUAAAACUCCCACUGGCCAAGCUUCUACAGCAGCACCAAUUUCCCCAUUUCGCAAUGUCAAACCUGAGAUGAAAAAUAUUCCAAAUGUGCUAACUUUUGAUAGAUAAUAUUUAUCGGCAAGACAACCCAGAGUAGGAUUUGCAAGUCCUAACACUACUCCACCAAUAAGAGCCAACGGAAGAAAAUUCCUGUCCACAAAAUUCAACAACUUUUUCCCCAAAACCAGAACUUUCCAUGAAUCCGAAACUUUAGCAGCUUCACUUCCACUACUAUCUACCCGAUCAGGGCGUUCGCAGGCUCUGAUUUUAAUAGGAAUCGAAAUCGAUCGACUUCGAGUGGAAGAGACAGAGAAGGUGAAGUAUGGGUUGCAAAUUGGCCGGAAAUUCGGAUGCAAGCGGCAGGACGACCGCGUUUGAGGCGAGGGAGGUGUGAGAAUUAGGGUUUGAAUGAUUCCCGCCAUUGAGAGCAUACUGAAAACACAGUCACAGCACAGUAAGC
rnacentral:misc_RNA from 1 species